rnacentral:rRNA from 1 species
AUACGGAGGAUCCGAGCGUUAUCCGGAUUUAUUGGGUUUAAAGGGUGCGCAGGCGGCCAUUUAAGUCAGCGGUUAAAUCGUGGGGCUCAACCCCAUUCUGCCGUUGAUACUGGGUGGCUUGAUUGCGGUCGAGGUUGGCGGAAUUCGUUGUGUAGCGGUGAAAUGCAUAGAUAUGACGAAGAACACCGAUUGCGUAGGCAGCUGACCAGACCGCAAAUGACGCUCAUGCACGAAAGGGCGGGGAUCGAACAGGAUUAGAUACCCUGGUAGUCCGCACAGUAAACGAUGAAUACUUGUUUUCGGCGAUAUAAUGUCGGAGGCAAAGCGAAAGCGAUAAGUAUUCCACCUGGGGAGUAUGCCGGCAACGGUGAAACUCAAAUGAAUUGACGGGG